rnacentral:rRNA from 1 species
GACGAACGCUGGCGGCGUGCUUAACACAUGCAAGUCGAACGAAGUGGCGAACGGGUGAGUAACGCGUAAUCAACCUGCCCUUCAGAGGGGGACAACAGUUGGAAACGACUGCUAAUACCGCAUGCUGAAGGAGGGGAUUGCGUCUGAUUCGCAAGAUGGAGGGGUAACGACCCACCAAGGCGAGGAUCAGUAGCCGGUGUGAGAGAAUGAACGGCGGCAUUGGGACUGAGACCCGGCCCAGCCGCCUACGGGAGGCAGCAGUGGGGAAUCUUCCGCAAUGGACGAAAGUCUGACGGAGCAACGCCGCGUGAGUGAAGAAGGUUUUCGGAGCGUAAAACUCUGUUGUUAGAGAAGCGGUAUCUAUCCAGAAAGCCACGGCUAACUACGUGCCAGCAGCCGCGGUAAUAC